UACGUAGGGUGCAAGCGUUAAUCGGAAUUACUGGGCGUAAAGCGUGCGCAGGCGGUUCGUUGUGUCGGCGGUGAAAGCCCCGGGCUUAACCUGGGAAUGGCCGUUGAAACUGGCGAACUGGAGUGUGGCAGAGGGGGGUGGAAUUCCGCGUGUAGCAGUGAAAUGCGUAGAGAUGCGGAGGAACACCGAUGGCGAAGGCAGCCCCCUGGGCUGACACUGACGCUCAGGCACGGAAGCGUGGGGAGCAAACAGG
rnacentral:rRNA from 1 species